rnacentral:rRNA from 1 species
GAAUUUUCCGCAAUGGGCGCAAGCCUGACGGAGCAACGCCGCGUGUGGGAUGACGCGUUUCGGCGUGUAAACCACUGUUCAUGGGGACGAAGCACUGACGGUACCCAUGGAGGAAGGCCCGGCUAACUACGUGCCAGCAGCCGCGGUAAUACGUAGGGGCCGAGCGUUGUCCGGAGUUACUGGGCGUAAAGCGCGCGCAGGUGGUUCAUUACGCCCGGCGUGAAAGCCCCCGGCCCAACCGGGGAAGGUCGUCGGGGACGGGUGGACUUGAGGGUAUCAGGGGCUGGUGGAAUUCCCGGUGUAGUGGUGAAAUGCGUAGAGAUCGGGAGGAACACCCGUGGCGAAGGCGGCCAGCUGGGAUACACCUGACACUGAGGCGCGAAGGCAUGGGGAGCGAACGG